rnacentral:lncRNA from 1 species
AUCCAAGUGGAGAGGGAUUUAUUAUGAUUUGAUUGAUUAUUUUUAUGUUAUCUCAGUCACUUAGACCUUAUUUCUACUCUUCAGGAUAGGAAAAAAAUUAUAGAGACAAGAUCAUCUUCUUGUUGACAUACAGUAAAAUAGCCUUCCUAGACUUGAGAUUCAGGUUUAGUCUCAGGCACUAUAUAUCACCCAAUCAGCACAGCCACUCUUAGUGGGACAGGCUAAAAAGGCACAUAAGGUGGUCGUUAUGAGUGUAAGGGAAAUUUAAAUUUUUUCUGUUGACUCCAAAACUAUGUAAAGGAUGGGACAGAAAAAAAGUGAGAUAU